UACAGACCUUUAGAGGCAGCCUUACUGGCCAGCCUGCUAGCCCUCUCUCCCAUUUACCACAGGCUACAUGAUACUUGCUUCUGUCUCAUUCCCAGGUGGUCUUCUAGGCCGUGGCAGUGUCUCCUGUGCCUCCUUGGCCUGUUUGGCACACUCUUUGGAAAUGACCACAGUCAUGCUCUCCAUUUUAAUUACUAUCAGGAGGUGACCUUUCACGGUGGCUGGGGAGCCCUUACUCCUUCACAGGAAGACCACCAGAGUAGGCAUUGUGUCUUGUCCAUCCUUGUCCCUGGUACCAGACAUACAGCAAGUGCUCAAUGUAUGCUUGGUAAAG